UUAAUUGAAGAGUUUGAUCAUGGCUCAGAUUGAACGCUGGCGGCAGGCCUAACACAUGCAAGUCGAGCGGAAACGACAACAUUGACCCUUCGGGUGAUUUGUUGGGCGUCGAGCGGCGGACGGGUGAGUAAUGCCUGGGAAAUUGCCCUGAUGUGGGGGAUAACUAUUGGAAACGAUAGCUAAUACCGCAUAACGUCUACGGACCAAAGAGGGGGACCUUCGGGCCUCUCGCUUCAGGAUAUGCCCAGGUGGGAUUAGCUAGUUGGUGAGGUAAUGGCUCACCAAGG
rnacentral:rRNA from 2 species